rnacentral:lncRNA from 1 species
AGCAGUAAACAGUCCUCUGCGAAGCCGCCUUUUUGCCUACCCAACCCUGGAAAGUUUGCAGAAGUGGAAGGAGCAGAACUUGCCAUGAGUGUAACUUACAAAAAGCUUGAUCUUCUAGACUCCAUGGCACCGGGUUGAGCGGGUUCUGGGAUGGAGAAGGGGCAACGGUUGGGCACCCCCCGCGUGGACAAUCUUUCCUUCUGUCGACGGCAGGGGCAGGCCUAGUUUGACAACCCUCCCACUAAGGAAUUCCUGGUGACUGGAAGGGGAGUGACUCGGGUCCCCAACCUCCUGGAGGUAAGGGAGCUAGCUGCCUCUCUGGUGGGUGUGCCCAGCUCUUCAGCCGGCCCAGCUCAGCCCAGCCUCCAAGGAAGCUGCGAGCAGCUGGCUUGGCUCCGAGGUAUUUUUGGCUACAGAUCAGCCCCGCUCCAUCACCACGACAGGUGGGUCCAAAUCAAACAUACUCCAGGCAGGUGGGGCUGGGGUUCUGCCUGCCUCCUGGCCGGCAGGGGUGGGUGGGCUGGCUGGGGCCGGUGUCAGCUGUUCCGCCUGGGCCGGGCCGGGCCGGGCUGGGAAGGGCGCUUGUGCUCACUUCCCGCCUCCACUCCUCUGCAGGCUUGUGCUCUCAUAAGCAGAGAUCACAGCCCAUUUCCUGGAUGGAGAAAGUGGAUGUUGAGGUCUGAGGCUUUUGAGGACAGUCAGGAGCCCUCCUGUGGGCUCGGGUGACACACUCAACAGCUUCUGGGUCCUCUUCCUCCACCUCCAGGAGUGCCUUAUUUACCUCCUGUGGUCCUGGGGAACCUUGGCCCCAGCCGUGCCUCCCCAGCCAAUCACAGCUCCUCUGGUUACCCCAAAGGAGCUCAGGGUUCAGCUGGUGGUUGGGCUCCUCUCCUCCUGUCCCCCACUCCCGUGGAGCCUGGCAGGGAAGUCCUCCAUGAUUUGACCCCGGUUACCUUGACAACGCUGCCUGGCCUCCCUCAUGGCCCAGCCAGUGAAGAAGCUGAAGAGGUUUUCUAGCUGUCGUGCAUUUGUCAGUCCGGGUCCCCUCCCUGGGUCCCCUCCCUGUUUCCCUCUGCCUGCCCUCCAGUGCUGCCAAGCCGUGUGCCAACCAGCACUCAGCCUUCCCUAAACGGUUCCCCUCUUCCAACCUCCAUAUCUUCUCCCAAGACUGUGACCUCCUGGAAGGCUGGGGCACAACUGCCUCUGAAUAAAUGUGUUGCAAAAAAGGAACAAGUUGCUGUGCGUUUGUCUAGUGGGUGCUUGACCCAGGAGACGCCCCUUUGUCCAGUGACAGGAGGGCGUCCACCCAGAACCUGGGGUGGGUCCUGGCUUCCCCUUCCCAGCUCCGCCGUGGUCUUGGGAUUCUAUGGGCGGUCGCUGGUGCCCUCUGGCGGUCAGGCCGUGCCUUGCUUGUACCGGCUGAGAACCUUGACUCACGUGAAACUGCCAGGUUGGCGGUUUUCCUCCACGAAGUGAGAUUUACCUGACCUUUGCCGAGAUCUUGAAAACGGAGUCUUUGGGGUGAGAUUCUGAGUCCUGCCAGCCCCUAUCUGAAGAAACUACCGAAGGUCACUUGCCCCCAACCAUGCUGCUGUUGGGGUUUUGUUAGAAAUGGACUUUUCCUACCCCAGUUGGUAGAAUCCCACUCUCUCGGCCACGCUCCCGUGCCCACCUGCCGUGGACUGACUCCAGGGGUCCCUCUGCCACCCUGACCGCUCACUUGGCUGGUGCCGAAGGCAGUCAGCCCGCCCGGGGUGGGGAUUACGGUGACCUCAGCCAUCAGACCUGAUAGAAUUGCCUACAGUUAGUGCUCAACAAGCUGUUUCCAUCAGGAGAUGCGAGGGUUGAGGGGAUUCAUGGGGUGAAGGACGUGGCUGCUGGCAGGGAAACGCAUUUUCUUACAUUUCUUGGUGUGGGGUUAUCAGUCUCCAAAACGCCAGAAGGACCCAGCUGACUUCAACUAGAGCUAGACCAAUCUGCCCCUCCCUGACAGCUACUGGCGUGGUUCACGCUUCUGGCUCCUGCUGGAAGGAGGUGCCCGCCCACGUGGUUUGGGGCCAACCUGCGGCCGGCGUUGAGGCGAUUGUCCAGCAGAGGGCGCUGGGUGUCCACCCUACAGCCCGGGGUCGGGUGCGGUUAAGGGGAGCCCAGUCCCUCACCCCGAGCCCGCGCGCACGCCGGCGCCCCGGGGCGAGGUGAGGUGGGCAGACAGGACCCUCCCAUCAGCAUCUUCCCCGGUGCCACCGCCGCUACCUCCUGUGGGGAAACUGAGGCCAGAGGCAGAUAGGUGCGAAGCCACGCCGCUGGGGCAGUGCAAAGCUGAG